AACGAACGCUGGCGGCGUGCCUAAAACAUGCAAGUCGCACGAGAAAGUAUUUAUACGAGUAAAGUGGCGCACGGGUGAGUAACACGUGGAUAACAUACCUUCGAGACUGGUAUAACAGUUGGAAACGACUGAUAAUCCCAGAUAAAGUUUAGAAUACAUUGGGGUAUUUUGAAUGAAAGCGGGCCUUCGGGUGUCGGCUUGAAGAGUGGUCUGCGUCCCAUUAGCUAGUUGGUGAGGUAAAGGCUCACCAAGGCGACGAUCUGUAGCGGGUCUGAGAGGAUGAUCCGCCACACUGGAACUGAGACACGGCCCAGACUCCUACGGGAGGCAGCAGUGGGGAAUUUUGGACAAUGGGCGCAAGCCUGAUCCAGCCAUGCCGCGUGAGUGAAGAAGG
rnacentral:rRNA from 1 species